CAUCUGUUGUGUGCGUGUUUGAUUUUUAUCCCUGAGCCGAUUAAAGACAGAACAGGAGAUGAGAUUGCUUUACUAUUGUGCAAGCCUGCCUUGAAGUGGGAAGCCUGCGGUAAACAUCGAACUUCCGCCUUGAGCCGUAAGGCCCAGGUCUUUAUCAUCACGGCACAACGGACC
rnacentral:other from 1 species